UUUUGGCGGACGGGUGAGUAACACGUGGGUAACCUGCCUGUAAGACUGGGAUAACUCCGGGAAACCGGAGCUAAUACCGGAUAGUUCCUUGAACCGCAUGGUUCAAGGAUGAAAGACGGUUUCGGCUGUCACUUACAGAUGGACCCGCGGCGCAUUAGCUAGUUGGUGGGGUAAUGGCUCACCAAGGCGACGAUGCGUAGCCGACCUGAGAGGGUGAUCGGCCACACUGGGACUGAGACACGGCCCAGACUCCUACGGGAGGCAGCAGUAGGGAAUCUUCCGCAAUGGACGAAAGUCUGACGGAGCAACGCCGCGUGAGUGAUGAAGGUUUUCGGAUCGUAAAGCUCUGUUGUUAGGGAAGAACAAGUGCGAGAGUAACUGCUCGCACCUUGACGGUACCUAACCAGAAAGCCACGGCUAACUACGUGCCAGCAGCCGCGGUAAUACGUAGGUGGCAAGCGUUGUCCGGAAUUAUUGGGCGUAAAGGGCUCGCAGGCGGUUUCUUAAGUCUGAUGUGAAAGCCCCCGGCUCAACCGGGGAGGGUCAUUGGAAACUGGGAAACUUGAGUGCAGAAGAGGAGAGUGGAAUUCCACGUGUAGCGGUGAAAUGCGUAGAGAUGUGGAGGAACACCAGUGGCGAAGGCGACUCUCUGGUCUGUAACUGACGCUGAGGAGCGAAAGCGUGGGGAGCGAACAGGAUUAGAUACCCUGGUAGUCCACGCCGUAAACGAUGAGUGCUAAGUGUUAGGGGGUUUCCGCCCCUUAGUGCUGCAGCUAACGCAUUAAGCACUCCGCCUGGGGAGUACGGUCGCAAGACUGAAACUCAAGGAAAUUUGAACG
rnacentral:rRNA from 1 species